GACGAACCGUGCGAACGUUAUUCGGAAUCACUGGGCUUAAAGCGCGUGUAGGCGGGACGGCACGUCGAUCGCUGAAAUCCCCCGGCUCAACCGGGGAACGGGCGCCGAUACGACCGUCCUGGAGGGACGUAGGGGGACCUGGAACUUCCGGUGGAGCGGUGAAAUGCGUUGAGAUCGGAAGGAACGCCCGUGGCGAAAGCGAGGUCCUGGACGUUUUCUGACGCUGAGACGCGAAAGCCAGGGGAGCAAACGGG
rnacentral:rRNA from 1 species